UUAAUUUUCAAGGUUUUUCACCUAAUCUUUCUCGAUGUUUCUUCUUUCUUUUCUCUCAUCAAAUCCUCGUAACCCUUGUCAAUCAGAUGUCGACCACCACUACUAUCGUCGGCGUCGGCGACGGCGAGAUCAAUAGCACCGCACCACUCACCGCUGCAUGUCUCAAUUUGGUAUCUCUCACCACUCAUGGAUGUGUUUCCCUGUUUUGUCUUCAUGGGGAAGUAUAUACUUUGCGAUGAAAUUCUUGGUGUUGCAGUGCUCUUCCGGACAUUUCUCAGGAGUGCUUCAUGUGGAAUUACAGAAAACUACCAUGGUGCUCUGCCAUGGCUGUUUGUUUAUAACACUGAUAUCUUAGUUGAUUUGAAGAAUCAAAUAACCCUACAAGUAAAACAGUGAUUUUGGCAGUCUUGGUUAAACACGUUGCUAUAACCCAUGGUACCAAUUUGCUUGGGAGUGCUUUUAACUCUAUCAUUGUAAUGUUAGCUAGAACUAGGGAUUUUAUUAUCCCUCAAGUUUGUUUUUUGAAUCCAGUAAUUGUUAUGUUUGGCCUGGCUAUAUAUCUUUUGUUGCUUAUUCUGUUAAGUUUUACAUUUGUUUUACUGCAUGCGUAUUAUAAUGAAGAUGUCUGAUAAAGUAUUUGUUUGAAGUUUAAAUAAAUAACUAGUAACAAAUUCUCUU